CUGCAACUCCCAUACUGACUCGGUAGAGGUGAAGGUCGAGAGCCAUGCGUCCUCCGAAACACGACCCCACCAAUCCGCACUGCUUCUUGACACACUGCUCGCUUGACCCAGAAGCCACCCGCACCAAUGUGUCGGAGGAAACACUGGUGACCGUGUCCGCGUGCAUGUGCCCGGCCAGCCACAAGUAGUCUCUAGAGCGCGAUGGGACAAAGACAGCCAGCCGGACAAACCCUCCUCUAACCCGGACAACGCUGGGCCAAUUGUACACCGCCUCAUGGGUCUCCUGUCACGGCCGGCUGUGACCCAGGGACAUCUAGAGGCAUGGCAUUGCAUUAACAAGAAUCCCCCUGUCCCAUCUGCUCCUGCUACACCCCCUAGUGGACAUCCGAAGUCUCAUUGACCUGCAGCCAUUCCCCCAGUUCUCUCCCUCUUCUUCGCUCUCUAUGUGUGCGAUUGUGUGGUUGGAGACAGGUGUGCUGGAGUCAAAGCAGUUCCCCACCACCUGCAGCCCGUUCCAUAAUCAAGACCUCUAUAAAUACUCAGUCCUGCCACUGCCACUUCCACUCUGCCAGAUCGUAAUCGCCGUUCAGUCAGUCAUGCUUCUAGCAAUUUGUUGUUAUUUAAUAUCCUGCUGUGCCUAUUUCCUUGCGUGACACUGUUUCUCCUCUCGCUGCUGUUUUGCCACUCUGGUUCCUGUCUCCUGCUACACAUCUCACUACCCUGUUCUGGACUCACCACACCACCACUCCCUUGGAUUCCCCUCCGGACCUGUUUACCCUGUCCCAACCCAGCUCACUCCAACCUCAGCCUCCACAUCUGGUUUCCUACAACUCAUCCAAGCCUCCCUGGAUCUGCACUUCAGUUCUCCAUGUGUUACAAUAAAUAUAUUGGUUCAUUCA